rnacentral:lncRNA from 1 species
GAGGAAAAAAACCCAUCAAACUGAGAACUGCCAAUGGUAAUCAACGGACUAAUUAUAGACUAAUAAAUUAUAUUGGAUAAAACACAAGAACAAAGCUAUAAUUAACACAAGAACAAAGCUAUAAUUAACUCAAGAACAUUUUAUUACAGGCCUCAAGUGUGAUUAUUCUAUCAUAUUUGGCAGCAUACACUACUAGCACAAACUCGUGUGCAUCCGAAAUUUAGCUAGGUGUAGCUAGGAGAUGUGCAAUAAAGCAUUGGAUCAUCUCAUUCUUCCAAUAAAUUCAUCAUUGGAACAUACACAUAAGUAACAAACGUACAUCAUAUCUCUCCAAGAUUCAUCAUGGACAUAUAUUUAUGCCUGUCCUUCCUGAUCCAUAGCUUAUCAAUAAUAAGCAUACAAACCAUGUUUAAACUUGCUUAGAUGCAUAUAUAUAGCUGCAAUUAACUAUAUCUUAAAACAUCUUCUUCACCAGUUGCACCGCGUACGCAAUCAACGCUUCCCGUGCAACUUAGAGCAUGAGAUAAGAGGCAGAUUGUUGACAUAUCUGCUUGGAGCCGAUGAAUGCCUAUAACCUUUCGGCAAGCAACCUUUGACAUCAGGCUCAGUACCGAAAAAGGGUCGCCUAUGAUUGAAAAGAGGCCUCCUUUCCACAUAAUCUUCACCCUGCGAAUCCAAAGGAGGCAUCAUGGUGCUUGGAACACUAGAGGGGAUGGCACGGCCAGCCAUAGUGAUGCCUAGAGAAUUAGAUGACAACAGGAAAUAGGUGAACAAAAGGUAAAACAUGGUAGUGCUAGUAGUCCUCAUGAUUUUUAAGGUUUUAUUUGUGGACUUGGUGGAGAGGUUUACAAGGGGUUUUAUGGGAGACAGAAGUGAAGAGUGGGAAGGGCCCUAAAUAGGCUCGUG